GAUCCAAGUGGUCUCACAGCGGGGACCGCGCUCCGCCCAAGGGGUUUCCCCGGGGGAAGCCGGGCUAAACCAUUGCGGCUGCGGAGGGGCGGCGGCGGGAACCAUAGGAAGGAAGCGGAGAGAGCAAAGAAACGACUAUGCUGGCAGCCAGGACAAAAACUGCAGGAUUUUCUAGCUCUUGACAGGGGGCAGACGCCAGAGGAUGAGGCAAGAGGAUCACCAGUUUGAGACCAGCGUGGACUA